rnacentral:rRNA from 1 species
GAUUAACGCUAGCGGCAGGCAUAAUACAUGCAAGUUGAACGGCAGCACAGGUAGCAAUACUGGGUGGCGAGUGGCGCACGGGUGCGUAACACGUAUGCAACCUACCCUAUACAGGCGAAUAACCUUUAGAAAUGAGGGCUAAUACGCCGUAGUAUUACAGAUGGGCAUCUAUUUGUAAUUAAAGAUUUAUCGGUAUAGGAUGGGCAUGCGUCCCAUUAGUUAGUUGGUAAGGUAACGGCUUACCAAGACGAUGAUGGGUAGGGGAUCUGAGAGGACUUACCCCCACACUGGUACUGAGACACGGACCAGACUCCUACGGGAGGAAGCAGUAAGGAAUAUUGAGCAAUGGCCGCGAGGCUGACCCAGCCAUGCCGCGUGCAGGAAGACGGCCUUAUGGGUUGUAAACUGCUUUUAUACGGGAAUAAUAGAGUGUACGCGUACAUUUAUGCAAGUAUCGUAUGAAUAAGCAUCGGCUAACUCCGUG